rnacentral:rRNA from 1 species
GACUCGUCACACUAUCAUUAACUGAAUCCAUAGGUUAAUGAGGCGAACCGGGGGAACUGAAACAUCUAAGUACCCCGAGGAAAAGAAAUCAACCGAGAUUCCCCCAGUAGCGGCGAGCGAACGGGGAGGAGCCCAGAGCCUGAAUCAGCAUGUGUGUUAGUGGAAGCGUCUGGAAAGGCGCGCGAUACAGGGUGACAGCCCCGUACACAAAAGCGCAUGUGCUGUGAGCUCGAUGAGUAGGGCGGGACACGUGGUAUCCUGUCUGAAUAUGGGGGGACCAUCCUCCAAGGCUAAAUACUCCUGACUGACCGAUAGUGAACCAGUACCGUGAGGGAAAGGCGAAAAGAACCCCGGCGAGGGGAGUGAAAAAGAACCUGAAACCGUGUACGUACAAGCAGUGGGAGCACCCUUUGGGGUGUGACUGCGUACCUUUUGUAUAAUGGGUCAGCGACUUAUAUUCUGUAGCAAGGUUAACCGAAUAGGGGAGCCGGAGGGAAACCGAGUCUUAAC